GUAUAUUAAGGUAUAGUGUUAUCUUAAUAAAGACGGAAUGUUGGAUAGUGUUCCACAUUUAUAAAUGACGAGCUUAAUGCUAAUUAAAAUGAUUGUGAGUGAAUUCAUGAAAAACAUAUACAUGCAUUCAUGAAUUGUUGUUCUAUAUUGGCUUGUCCAAUAAAGACGGAUAUCGAACUAUAUUUGUUUGAUAAAGACGGAUAUCGGAGGUGAGAUACUCUGAUAAAGACGAUGGUACCACAUGCAUUAGAGGUGUCUAGAGGACAUAACAUGAAAUGUGAAGCAUUAGAUUGCAUUAGGGAUUAUGUGUGCAUUUUAUGAUAAAUGAUGUUUGACACAUACUUGGUAAAUGUUGAUUGUUAAUCCGUAUGUGAGGAGCAGAGUCCGUCAUGACUAUAAAAUGAACAACGCAGGGUCCGUCAUGGCCAUAAUCUGAACAAUGUAUUUGUGGUGUUAGAUUACAUUAGGAACUUUAUGUAUAUUCCUAUUUGUAACUGAGUUAUGUGAUAUUUGUGGAUGUUUUGGUAUUGUCCGAGACGACGUGAAACUAUAUGUUUGGUGUAUUUUGUGGAUGAUUGAUUAUGUGAUAAAUGAAGUAUAUGCAUGCUAUAUGAAUAUGCAUGAAUGAUGGUGAUGUAUAUGUAUAAUGUAUGAUUAUGCAUGU
rnacentral:lncRNA from 1 species